rnacentral:sRNA from 1 species
GUUUAGCCCUGAUUGUAGCGGCAUCCUUUUUUUGAAGGGAUUCCUGCCUAUGCAGGAAUGACAAGAAAAAAGAUAUAGCGGAAAGCAGGAAAUAGC